rnacentral:rRNA from 1 species
CCUACGGGAGGCAGCAGUGGGGGAUAUUGCACAAUGGGGGGAACCCUGAUGCAGCGACGCCGCGUGGGUGAAGGAGCGUUUCGGCGCGUAAAGCCCUAUCGGCAGGGAAGAAGGAGGACGGUACCUGACUAAGAAGCCCCGGCUAACUACGUGCCAGCAGCCGCGGUAAUACGGCGGGGGCAAGCGUUCUCCGGAUUUACUGGGUGUAAAGGGGUCGCAGGCGGGUGAGCAAGCCAGGAGUGAAAGCCCGGGGCCCAACCCCGGGACUGCGCUUGGAACUGCGCGGCUGGAGUGCAGGAGGGGCAGGCGGAAUGCCGGGUGUAGCGGGGAAAUGCGUAGAUAUCAGGAGGAACACCGGUGGCGAAGGCGGCCUGCUGGCCUGCGACUGACGUUGAGGCCCGAAAGCGUGGGGAGCAAACAGGAUUAGAUACCCUAGUAGUC